rnacentral:rRNA from 1 species
UUUACUGAGAGUUUGAUCCUGGCUCAGGACGAACGCUGGCGGCGUGCCUAAUACAUGCAAGUCGUGCGGACUUUUUAAAAGCUUGCUUCUAAAAAGUUAGCGGCGGACGGGUGAGUAACACGUGGGCAACCUGCCUGUAAGAUCGGGAUAACGCCGGGAAACCGGGGCUAAUACCGGAUAGUUUUUUCCU